rnacentral:rRNA from 1 species
GUUGAACGCUGACAGCAUGCCUAACACAUCAGCAAUGGAUUGGUGGCGGACGGGUGAGUAAUGCGUAAAGAUCUUGCUUCACCGGUAGGGACAACAUUUGGAACCGACUGCUAAUCCCCAAUACUGUGAGAGAGCUUUGCGUCCCGUUAGCUAGUUGGAGAGGUAACGGCUCACCAAGGCGAUGAUGGGUAGCCGGCCUGGGAGGGUGAUCGGCCACAGGGGGACUGGGACACGGCCAUUGCGCCUAUGGGGGUAAGGAGGGGAAGAUAGUGAACGCUGGGCCGAAGUGUGAUGAAGCAAUUCGGUGUGCACGAUGAAGUUGUCGGAAUGAAGGGUGCUUUCAUUUGAGAAGCGGUACCAACAGAAGAAGUGCCGGCUAAAUACGUGCCAGCCGCCGCGGUAAUAC